GAUUAUUUCCUUAACCCUCACCCCUCCUCUCUCUCUCUCUCUCUCUCUCUCUCUCUCAUCUUUCCCAUUCAAAGUCAGAUUCCGCCCAACGGUUCUUCCUCCUUAAAUACUCAGAAACGAUCAUCAAUUUAGGGUUAGGUACAUUAAUCUUUCUAAACUUUCGAGUAAUCGAUUAGGGAUGGGGCACAUUAAUCUUCUACAAGUUCGAGAUUUUGACAUCGAUUAGGGAUAGGGCACAUUAAUCUUCUACACGUUCGAGACUUUGAUAUCGAUUAGGGAUGGGGCACAUUAAUCUUUCUACACGUUCGAGAUUUUGAUUAGGAGCGGCUACAUUAAUCUUACUAAACAGAGUCACCGGAAUACGAUGUCGUCGUACGAAGAGAGGAUCACCGGCGGCACAAGUAGUGAUUCAGUCUCUGAUGCCGAUGGCGCCAAUCUCCUCCAGGUCAGAUUUACAAACUCAAUUUUCCUAUAUCUUUUGUGCUACUUUUUUUUGGUUUAUGCGCACACAGUUUGAUGUGUUUGGAAUUGUAAUUUUCUUUAUGGUUGGAUUAUGCAUUCUCUACUGAUUAAGCAUAUACUUUUCAUUACCCAUAAUUUGCCCUUUUGAUGCUUGAGAUUUGUUGGGAAUGAGAAGAUAAAAAGAAUCUCCUCGUUAUUCGUAAAAUUUUGAAGUGUGUAAUGUUAUAUAAUAUGGUAAUGUCAAUUCCCUCUAGUUAUUGUUCCUGGUUUGGCGUGUGAAUAUGACUAUCCUACUUAGACUAAACCACUUAGAACGGGUUAAAUUUGUUUGUUUAUAGGGCCUCUGUUUUUCUUUUUCUUGGCAAGUUGUGUUGUGAAAACUGUAAAUUUAUUAGAACGGGUUAAAUUUAUUUAUGUAGUUUAUUAGAUAGUGGUCAACCUAUUUUAUUUAAGAGUACUACUAUAAAAACUAACUUACAAAAUAACGUGACAUAUUGUUUACUUGUGAAUAAAAUAUUACUCACAAUUGAUUUAUUUAUUUUGUGUAACUAACUGGUUUAAUGAUUAUUACCGACCAAUUCUAAAAAUAUUUCAAUUAUAUUUUAUGGGUGAUUUUUGUUUGCUUAGCCAGUAGUAAAAGGUGUGUUGCCAAGUCACAGCUCUUUCCUUCUUGUUAACAUUGGUUGUGAUGAGAGUGAUUUUUUCUUUUAGGCUCUGUUUUUGAGUUUUAAAAUGGACAGAAAAGAAAAGAAAUGGACGGAAAAUUUAAGUUUUCUUUCCAAUUCUUAUGUUUCUGAGUUUUUUAAUAAACGGAAAAGAAAAGAAAUGGAUAGAAAACUUGGCCACUUUUCCUGCCAAAGUUUUCCGUCCAAAAUUGGCAUGAUUUGGACGGAAAAGAAAUUAAAAUAAGUAAUAUUUUUAUAAUUCCCAUAAUAUCCUCAACUUUUAAUAUAAUAAAUUUUAAAUUACAACUCAUGUCCUCAAUUUUAAAUUUUCUAUCAUUUUCCAUUAAAAACUCAGAAACAACACAAAGGAAAACUUUAAGUUUUCUAUUUUUUUCUUUUCUGUUCUAAUUUAAGUUUUCUAUUAUUUUUUUUUCUGUUCAAAACUCAGAAACAGAGUGUUAGAGACGUGCUAUUCUUUUCUUUCACUAAAAGAAAAGAAUAGCACAUCAGUUUUCCAUCUAUUUAUAACAUCACGAGUGCAGUUGUAUUUUUAGGAUCCGGUUAGCAUAAAGUUAUUUUGUUAGUAAGUUAGUCAAUUAGUCAAUAAAAUACUGACACACAUACAACCUCUCCUGCGUGUCAAUAUUCUAUUGGUCAAUUGACCAACUUACCCGAAAAUAAACUUCAUACUAACCAUUUCCGUAUUUUUGGGUUUGGGGUUUUAUUUUCCGUACAAGGUUCAUCUGUUUUCAUUCAUUAUUACUUCCGGAGUCGGUUUCAAGUAUGACAUGGGUUUUGAUUCCAUAUAUUUGAUGUUCGGUGACACCGCCCCUUUCAUUUAAUAAUAACUUGUACAAAUAGUUUAUUUCAAUACUUAUUUAAUAACCCUUCUAAUUUUUCAAAUAACAGUCAAUAACUAUCUAGUCUACAAUAUACUACCUCCGUCCCAUAAUAACUGAUUUUUUAGCUUAAAUCACACAUACCAAUACACAAGCUAAAAUGACAAAAAUACCCUUAAUAUAUUUUCUUUGAAGUUGAAGAGUUAAUGAGUAUCAUUUAAUUGUAGUGGUUGCAAGAUGCAAUAAAUAUCAUUGAAUGCAUAAGGACAUAUAUGAGAAAAUAUUGUAAAAAUUGUAUUGGAGUUCUAACACAUCACUUAUUUUGGAAAAAAAUAUUAAGUCUAAAAAAUCACUUAUUAUGGGACGGAGGUAGUAUAUAACAUUCAUUACCUCUAAUGUGAUUGACUAAUUAAUAUCUAAAAAUAUUUUUAAUAUAAUUUAUAAUACACCCUUGAAGUUAUAAAGUUUAAUUUAUCCACUAAAUAUAAAUUUGUAUACUGUAAUUUUUACUUGAUCAAAUUAAUUAACUUGUGAACUUGUGCAAUAAAUAACAUAAAUGACAAAAAAUAAUAAAUAUUCAUUUUAUCAAGAAAAUAAAUUCAUGCAAUUUUUGGUAAUUAAAUUUCUCAAAUAUUAAAAUUUAUGUGAUAUAUAUUCAAAUAUAUUUUUUUUAAUUAAAAAGUAAAAUUUAAUACCCAUAAAAGUACAAAUUAACGGAAUAAAAUUAUAAUUAUUUUUCCAAAUAUUAAAAUUUACGCAAAGCAAACUUAUUAUUACAGAACGAAUCUUAUUAUUCGUAUAAAAAAUUAUUAAAAAGUAUAUUAAUUAUUUUUCUCAUAUAUUAAACUAAACAUAUGUCACACUUAAACAUAAUUAUUUACAGUAAAAAUGACAAAUAUUGUUACUCAAAAGAAUAUAUUAAAAGAAAUUUAUAAACAAUUACUCAGUAAGGUCUUAUUUACAGUAUUUUUUUAUAAUUAUUACUCAAAGAUACUAAAAAUAUAUUUUCAUUAUUUCAAACAUAUAAGUGAUUAACUUAUUAAAAAUAUUGAUAUUUAACUUAUUAAUUAAUAUCUAUUUGAUAUUUAACUUAUUAAUUAAUAUCUAUUUGACUCAAACACAGAAAAAACAAAAAUAAAAAACAAUCAAGAAGAAAAGUCCUCAAAAAACAUGGUAAAAGGUCUUUUAGUUUUUUAAGCCCGAAUAAUAUUUAAAAAUUUUAAUAUUUGAGAUACUAAAAAUAUAUUUUCAUUAUUUCAAACGAAUAAGUGAUUAACUUAUUAAAAAUAUUGAUAUUUAACUUAUUAAUUAAUAUCUAUUUGACUCAAACACACAAAAAACAAAAAUAAAAAACAAUCAAGAAGAAAAGUCCUCAAAAAACAUGGUAAAAGGUCUUUUAGUUUUUUAAGCCCGAAUAAUAUUUACGAAAUUUUAAUAUUUGAGAUACUAAAAAUAUAUUUUCAUUAUUUCAAGCAAAUAAGUGAUUAACUUAUUAAAAAUAUUGAUAUUUAACUUAUUAAUUAAUAUCUAUUUGAUAUUUAACUUGUUAAUUAAUAUCUAUUUGACUCAAAACACACAAAAAACAAAAAUAAAAAACAAUCAAGAAGAAAAGUCCUCAAAAAACAUGGUAAAAGGUCUUUUAGUUUUUUAAGCCCGAAUAAUAUUUACGAAAUUAUUAAUCGUUAUUAUUUUUUCUUUUUGCAACAUUUAAAAAAAAUAGUAAUAUAUCAUAAAUACCUUAAUAAUUUUUUCACUCUCUCUAAAUUUAUCCAACCAAACUACACUCACAUAAAAUAUUAAAUUAUUUUUAUAGAAAUAAUAAUUUAUGGGGAUAAUAUAUUUUUUUGUUACUGUACUAGAGUCCGAUUUUCACUGUGGUUACCGAUUUUUUUUUUACAAUCGAAUAACUAUACUCUAAAAAAUUACAAAAUGGUCAUUAUUUAAAGAUUUUUGUCCGAAAAAACGGACGGAAUGCUGAUUGUGCAAGUUGACCAUUUUUUUUUUGCUUACGUGGAGCAAGUUGACCAGACUUUUUACUUACAUGCACGAGACUUCCCUUCUUUGUUAUCUUUAAACAAAGUGGAAUAGUAAAAUUUAUUAUCUUUAAAUAAUAAUAAUAAUUUCAAAUAAUAAUAAUAAUUUUUAAAUAAUAAUUUCAAAAUAAUAAUAAUAACAAUAACAAUAAAAAUUUUUUAAAAAUAUUAUAUAAAUUAUAAAAAUAUUUUUAUACGAAGCUGAUGUGUAUUUAAAAAAUAAUAUAAUUAUUAUUUUAUUAGUUUAAAUAAUUUGAGCAAGGGUAAAUUUGACAAAUUAUUUUUUAUUCUCCAUUAAAAUAAAAAAACAAAUUUCAUACAAAUCUGUAGGGAACAAGCCCCCAAAUACAAUUAAUUUUAUAAAAUUAAAUUUUUUAGAAAAUUAAUUAUUAUUAUUAUUAUUAUUUUGAAAUUAUUUUUAAUACUAUUAUUAUUAUUAAAAAAAUUUAUUAUUAUUGUUAUAUUCCUCUCUCUGUUCCUAAAAGAUUGUCGUUUAAGGUUAAUGCACAGAGAUUAAGGAAUAUAAUUAAUACCUAGCUAAAAAUAUUAUACUAUCCUUAUUAAUUGUCUCAAUCAACUAUUUAUUUCUUAAUGUUUCUUAUUCAAUUCAACCAAUUACUACUUGGAUUAUAGUAUUGAAUUUAAUAUGAAUCAUUGGGAAGGGAAGAAAACUUUAAAUAGGAGAAAGUUUUAAAUAAGGGUAAAGUAUGAAAAAAAUAGCUAAUGUGUAUUAUUAAAUUCAAAACGACAAUCUUUUUGGAACAAAAAUUACUUCCUAAAACGACAAUCUUUUAGGAACGGAAGGAGUACAAUAGUAUUAAUUUUACUCCGAAGUUCUACAUAUUAUUAAAAUUUAUCUAAUAAAAUACAAAUGAUUUUGAAUUUCCCGCUCACUCAAUAAAUCAUCUGGGCCGUCCAAAGUUUGGGAUAAAUCCCACCAUCCAUCUUUCUAAUAAAAUACAAAUGAUUUUGAAUUUCCCGCUCACUCAAUAAAUCAUCUGAGCCGUUCAAAAUUUGGGAUAAAUCUCACCAUCCACCAUCACAAACAGUCUUAUUUAUCAGCCACAACUGAUGUUUCUCGCUCCAAGAUUCACUUAUCCCCAUCAUCAUCACCACACUCGUUCUGUAGCUUUCGAAACCCUUCAUUCUCUUCCUCCUUCACCGAUCUUAACUCAUAUACUUCUGCUACUAAGAAGUUUUUAAUUCCUCGAUGCAUAAAAUACUAUUAAUAAUAAUAAAAUACUAUUAAUAAUAAUAAUUUUAAUAAUAUGUAGAACUUCGGAGUAAAAUUAAUAGUAUUGUAUAACAAUAAUUUUAAAACAGUCUUUCAAAACUUAUAUUUUGUAUCUUCCGAAAUUUCUAAAUUUCAGCCCCAAGAUUUUUAAAUUUCUCUCCUUCAAAGGUUUUCCAUUCUAUCUCCCUUAAAAGUUUUUAACUUCCUUUCCUCUCCCUCAAAUGUGUUUUCUCUCUCUAUUUCUUAAAAGUUUUUUCACUCUGAAUUUUUUUUGACUUUUCUCUUCCUAAAAAAUUCUCCCCCCUCUGAAAAUUUUCAGUUUUUGUUUCUCAAAAGUUUUCAAUUUCUGUUGCUAAUAAGUUGUUAACUUUUUCUUAACUUCCUCUCCCUCAAAUGUUUUAAUCUUUCUGGCCCUGAACAACUAUCCCUAUAAAGCUUUUACUUAAAUUUAUAAUUUUAUCUCUUUCAAAAUUUUUAAUUUGUAUCUUCAAAAAAAUUUAAAUUCCUGCCCCUAAAAAUUUUCAUUUUACUGUUUUAAAAGUUUUUCACUCUUGAAAGAUUUUAACUUUCUCCCCCAAGUUUUUAAGUUUCACUCCCGCAAAAUUUUUAGGUCUCUGCUUCAAAAGUUCUUGGUAUUCUCUCUCAAAAGUUUUUAGCUCUCUCCCUCAAAAGUUUUUACUUUACUCUCUAAAUUUUAAAUGUGCACUCUUUCAAAAUUUAUAUUUUGUAUCUUCCGAAAUUCUUAAAUUUCAGUCCCUAAAAUUUUCAUUUUCUCUUCCUUCCAUUCCCUCCUGUAAAAGGUUUUAACUUAACUUCCUUUCCCUUAAAUGUGUUUUCUCUCCAUCCCUCAAAAGUGUUCAACUUUACUCCCUAAAAAGUUUUGAACUUUUUCUUAACAAAUUUCACUCUCCUUAAAAAAAAUUUAAUUUUUGUCCCUCAAAAGUUGUUAACUUUUUCUCCCUCGAAAGUUUUUAUUUCUCAACUCUCAAAAUUUAUAAUUUUCUCACAUUCAAAAUUUAUACUUUGUAUAUUCCGAAAGUUAUAAAUUUCUAUCACUGAAAUUUAUAAAAUUCUCUACCUUGAAAGUUUUCCACUUUCUCUUCGUUAAAAUUUUUUAAAUCUACUCUUUAAAAAAUUAUACUUUGUUUCUUUAUGAAAUCUUAAAAUUUUAAAUUUCACUCCUUUGAAAGGUUUUAACUUUCUCUCCCUCAAAAGUUUUUAACUUUCAUUCCCUCGAAAGUUUUCAACUCUCAAACCUCAAAAAUUUUCACUCGUUGUAAAGUUUUUGACUCUCUCCCUAAAAGUUUUAAACUUUCUCUCGUUCAAAAGUUUGUACUUCUUUAUUCUCAAAAUUAUUAACUUUUCUCUUUUAAAUUUUUUAAUUUUUAUCUUUUAAAAAUUUUAAAUCGUAGUUUUCCAUAUUCUCUCCCCUUAAAGGGUUUUAACUUCCUCUGCCUCAAAUGUUUCAGCUUUCUCUGCUUCAAAAGUAUUUGACAUUCACUCCGUCAAAAGAUUUUAACUUUCUCUCGCUCAAAAGGUCUUGCAUCACUCUUUCAAAAUUUAUAUUUUUUAUCUUACCAAAUUUCUAAAUUUCAGUCCAAAAUUUAUUCAAUUUCUCUGAUUUAAAGGUGUUUCAUUCUAUAUCCCUUAAAAGGUUUUAACUUCCUCUCCCUCUAAUGGGGUUAAAUACAUUAUUUUCCUACUCUGCUCCACCUUGAUUUACAAAUGCAUAAUUGGAUAUAAAUUUUUUACGGUCAACUCAUUGAAUUGUAGUUUUUUUCAAACCUUUACAAAAACCGUAUUGAAUUUAACGGAAAAAAAUGAAAUAUUACAAAAUAAUAAUAACACUAGUAAUAAUUACAAAAUAAUAAUAAUAAUAAUUACAACUGGUUUGGAAGGAUUUUGUUACGGUUUGUUAAAAAAUUACAGUUUAAUUAGUUGAUCAUAAAAAAUUUCAUUCCAUUGAUUUAUUUGUAAAUCGAGGUCGAGUAGAGUGGGAAAAGUGUAUUUAACCCCCCUGUAAUGUGUUUUCCCUUUCUAUCCCUAAAAAGUUGUGCUUUCUCUUCCUCAAAAAAUUCCACUUACCUUUUAAAGUUUUAAUUUCCGUCCCUCAAUUUUUUUAAACUUUUUCUUAACUUCCUUUCCCACAAAUGUUUUUAACUUUCUCACCUUGAAAAGUUCUCAACUUUUACUUCCUACAAGUUUUCAUUUCUUAAUUUUUAAAUUCACUCUUUCCCUCAAAAAGUUUUUGCUUCUUAACCAAACUUUUUAGUUUUCUAUCUUUCAAAUUUAUACUUUGUAUCUUUUGAAAAUUUUAAAUUCCUACCCAUAAAGUUUUAAAAUCCACUUCUUUAAAAGUUUUCAAUUUCUCUCUUUUGACCUUUCUCUUCUUAAAAAAUUCACUCUCCUUUGGAAGUUUUCAAUUUACAUUCCCCAAAGUUUUCAAUUUAUGUACCUAAAAAGUUGUUAACUUUUUAUUAACUUUCUCUCCCUCAAAUAUUUUUCUCUUCCUCACCCUGAAAAGUUUUGAACUCUUACUUCCUAAAAGUUUUUACUUCUCAACUCCCAAUUUUUUUCACUCUAUAAAGUUUAUACUCAACUUGAAUUUAUGAUUUUCUCUCUUUCAAAAUUUAUACUUUGUAUCUUCAAAAACUUUUAAAUUACUGCCCGUAAAGUUUACAUUUCACUACUUUAAAAUGUUUUAACUAUCUCUCCUUCAAAAGUUUUCAAGCUUAACUCCCGCAAAAUUUUUAGCUCUUUGCUUCAAAAGUUCUUGAUAUGCUCUCUCAAAAGUUUUUAACUUUCUAUCACUCAAAUUUUUUUACUUUACUCUUAGUUUUAAAUGUAGUCUUUCAAAAUUUAUAUUUUUUAUCUUCCGAAAUUCUUAAAUUUCAGUCCCAAAAAUUUUCAUCUUCUCUCCCUUAAAAGGUUUCAAUUCUCUCUCCCAUUAAAGGUUUUAAUUUCCUCUCCCUCAAAUCUGUUUUCUCUCUAUCCCUCAAAAGGGUUUAACUUAAUCUAUCUCCCAUAAAAGUUUCUCCUCUCUCUUUGUUGAAAGGUUUUAACUUUCUAUCCUCAAAUAUUUUUAACUAUCUCCCUCAAAAGUUUUUAAUUUUAACUCCCUAAAAAGUUUUUAACUCUACAUCAAAAGUUUUUACUUCUAGACUCUUGGAACUUUUUAAUUCCCUUUCAAAAUUAGUACUUUGUCCCUAAAUUUUUCGACUUGUCUAUCUUAAAAGUUUUUCACCCUAUUUUCAAAGGUUUUAACUUCCAUUCCCUCAAAUGUUUUUAUCUUUCUCUCUAAAAAGUUCUGAACUUUCACUUUCUAAUUUUUUUAAACUUUCACUUCCUAAAUAUUUUUAUACUUCUCUCCCCUCAAAAGUUUUUAUUUUUUAACACUCAAAAUUCUUCACUCUCUCCCAAAAGUUUUUACUUCGUGACUCAAAUUUAUAAUCAUCUUUCUUUCAAAAUUUAUACUUUGUAUAUUCCGAAAUUUCUAAAUUUUUGUCCCUAAAAUUUUCAAUUUCAUUCCUUUAAAAGUUUUCCACACUUUCUCCCUUGAAAAAGGUUUUAACUUUCUAUCACUCGAAAGUUUUUCUUUCAGUCCCUCAAAACUUUUAACUUUCUAUGCUUCAAAACUUUUGACAUUAUCUCCCUCCAUAGUUUGAAACUUUCUCUGGCUCAAAAGUUUUUACUUCGUUACUCUCAAAAUUUUAAACUCCUUCAAAAUGUAUACUUUGUAUCUUCCGAAAGUUUUAAAUUUCAGUCAUAAAACUUUUCACUUUGAAUUCCUUCAAUGUUUUCUAUUCUCUAUCCCUUAAAAGAUUUUAACUUCCUUCCUCCCCCUUAAAUGCUUUUAUCUCUCUCCCUCGAAAGUUUUUAACUGUCUCACGCAAACUUUUAACUCUCCACCUAAAAGUUUUUUUAAGUUUCACUCGUAUAAUUUUAUUCUUUCUCUGCUUAAAAAGUUUUUGACAUUCUCUCCCUCAAAAGCUUUUAACUUUCUCUCGAUCAAAUGGACUUACUCCUUUACUCUCAAAAUUUUUAGCACUUUCAAAAUUUAUAUUUUGCAUCGUCUGAAAUUUCUAAAUUUCUGUCCCAACAUUUUUCAAUUCCUCUCUUUUGACCUUUCUCUUCCUAAAAAAUUCACUCUCCUUUAGAAGUUUUCAAUUUUCGUUCCCCAAAGUUUUCAAUUUUUGUCCCUAAAGAGUUGAACUUUUUAUUAACUUCCUCUCCCUCAAAUGUUUUUAUCUUCCUCACCCUAAAAAGUUUUGAACUCUUACUUCCUAAAAGUUUUUACUUCUCAACUCUCAAUUUUUUUCACUCUUCCUGUAAAGUUGUUACUGAACUUAAAUUUAUAAUUUUCUCUCUUUUAAAAUUUUUACUUUGUAUCUUCAAAAACUUUUAAAUUACUCCUCCUAAAGUUUUCAUUUCACUGCUUUAAAAGGUAUUAACUUUCUCUCCUUCAAAAGUUUUCAAGCUUCCCUCCCGCAAAUUUUUUCUCUUUGCUUCAAAAGUUCUUGAUAUGCUCUCUCAAAAGUUUUUAACUUUCUAUCGCUCAAAAGUUUUUACUUUACUCUAUAAAUUUUAAAUGCACUCUUUCAAAAUUUAUAUUUUAUAUCUUCCGAAAUUCUUAAAUUUCAGUCCCAAAAAUUUUCAUUUUCUCUCCCUUGAAAGGUUUCCAUUCUCUCUGCCAUAAAAGGUUUUAACUUCCUCUCCCUCAAAUGUGUUUUCUCUCUAUCCCUCAAAAGGGUUUAACUUAAAUCUAUCUCCCAUAAAAGGUUUCCACUCUCUCUCCAUUGAAAGGUUUAACUUUUUAUCCCUCAAAUAUUAUUAACUAUCUCCCACAAAAGUUUUAAUUUUGACUCCCUAAAAAGUUUUUAACUAUACAUCAAAAGUUUUUAUCUCUUUCAAAAUUUUUACUUUGUCCCUAAAUUUUUUGAUUCGUCUCCCUUAAAAGUUUUUCGCUCUAUGUUAAAUGGUUUUAACUUCCAUUCCCUCAAAAAUGUUUUUAUCUUUCUCCCUAAAAAGUUCUGAACUUUCACUUCUUAAAUAUUUUUAUACUUUUCUCCCCUCUCAACACUUAAAAAAUUUCACUCUCCCAAAACUUUUUACUUCGUGACUCAAAUUUAUAUAAUCUUCUCUUUCAAAUUUUAUACUUUGUAUAUUCCGAAAUUUCAAAAUUUCUGUCCCUAAAAUUUUCAAUUUUAUUGCUUUAAAAGUUUUCCACACUUUCUCCCUUAAAAAAGGUUUUAACUUUCUAUCGCUCGAAAGUUUUUCUUUCAGUCCCUCAAAAAUUUUUAACAUUUUUAACAUUCUCUACUACAAAAAUUUUGAUAUUCUCUUCUUCCAUAGUUUGAAACUUUAUCUCACUCAAAAGUUUUUACUUCGUUACUCAGAAUUUUAAACUAUUUCAAAAUGUAUACUUUGUAUCUUCCGAAAGUUUUAAAUUUCAAUCACAAAACUUUUCAAUUUGUUUUCCUUCAAUGUUUUCUAUUCUCUGUCCCUUAAAAGAUUUAAACAUUCUUCCUCCCCCUAAAAUGCUUUUAUCUCUCUCCCUCGAAAGUUUUUAACUCUCUCAAGCAAACUUUUUAACUCCACCUCAAAAGUUUUUUAAGUUUCACUCGUAAAAUUUUUAUCUUUCUCUGGUUAAAAAGUUUUUGACAUUCUCUCCCUCAAAAGCUUUUAACUUUCUCUCGCUCAAAUGGACUUACUCCUUUACUCUCAAAUUUUUAACACUUUCAAAAUUUAUGUUUUGCAUCUUAAAUUUCUAAAUUUCUGUCCCAAAAUUUUUCAAUCUCUCUCUUUUGACCUUUCUCCUCCUAAAAAAUUCACUCUCCUUUGGAAGUUUUCAAUUUUCGUUCCCCAUAGUUUUCAAUUUUUGUCCCCAAAAAGUUGUUAACUUUUUCUUAACUUCAUCUCCCUCAAAUGUUUUUAUCUUCCUCACCCUGAAAAGUUUUGAACUCUUACUUCCUAAAAGUUUUUACUUCUCAACUCUCAAUUUUUUUCACUCUACCUGUAAAGCUUUUACUGAACUUAAAUUUAUAAUUUUCUCUCUUUCAAAAUUUAUACUUUGUAUCUUCAAAAACUUUUAAAUUACUGCUCCUAAAGUUUUCAUUUCAUUGCUUUAAAAGGUUUUAACUUUCUCUCCUUCAAAAGUUUUCAAGCUUCCCUCUCGCAAAAUUUUUAGCUCUUUGCUUCAAAAGUUCUUGAUAUGCUCUCUCAAAAGUUUUUAACUUUCUAUCGCUCAAAAGUUUUUACUUUACUCUCUAAAUUUUAAGUGCACUCUUUCAAAAUUUAUAUUUUAUAUCUUCCGAAAUUUUUAAAUUUGAGUCCCAAAAAUUUUCAUUUUCUAUCCCUUUAAAGGUUACCAUUCUCUCUCGCAUAAGAGGUUUUAAUUUCUCUCCCUCAAUUGUGUUUUCUCUCUAUCCCUCAAAAGGGUUUAACUUAAAUCUAUCUCCCAUAAAAGGUUUCCACUCUCUCUCCGUUGAAAGGUUUUAACUUUCUAUUCCUCAAAUAUUUUUAACUAUCUCCCUCAAAAGUUUUUAAUUUUGACUCCCUAAAAAGUUUUUAACUCUACAUCAAAAGUUUUUACUUCUAGACUAACUUUUUAAUUCUCUCUUUCAAAAUUUGUACUUUGUCCCUAAAUUUUUCGAUUUGUCUCCCUUAAAAGUAUUUCAUUAAAAGGUUUUAACUUCCACUCCCUCGAAUGUUUUUAUCUUUCUCUCUAAAAAGUUCUGAACUUUUACUUCCUAAAUAUUUUUAUACUUCUCUCCUAUCAAAGGUUUUUAUUUCUCAACACUCAAAAAGUUUUCACUCUCGCAAAAGUUUUUAUUUCGUUACUCAAAUUUAUAAUCUUUCAAAAUUUAUACUUUGUGUAUUCCGAAAUUUCAAAAUUUCUGUCCCUAAAAUUUUCAAUUUCAUUCCUUUAAAAGUUUUCCACACACUCCCUUAAAAAAGGUUUCAACUUUCUAUCACUUGAAUGUUUUUCUUUCAGUUCCCUCAAAAUUUUUAACAUUCUCUUCAAAACUUUUGACAUUCUCUCCUUCCAUAGUUUGAUACUUUCUCUCGCUCAAAAGUUUUUACUUUGUUACUCUCAAAAUUUUAAACUCUUUCAAAAUGUAUACUUUGUAUCUUCCGAAAGUUUUAAAUUUCAGUCACAAAACUUUUCAAUUUGUUUUCCUUCAAUGUUUUCUAUCCUUUGUCCCUUAAAAGAUUUUAACUUCCUUCCUCCCCCUAAAAUGCUUUUAUCUCUCUCCCUGAAAAGUUUUUAACUCUCUCAUGCAAACUUUUUAGCUCCACCUGAAAUUUUUUUAAGUUUCACUCGUUAAAUUUUUAACUUUCUCUGCUUAAAAAGUUUUUGACAUUCUCUCCCUUAAAAGCUUUUUACUUUCUCUCACUCAAAAGGAUUUACUCCUUUACUAUCAAAUUUUUAACACUUUCAAAAUUUAUAUUUUGCAUCUUCUGAAAUUUCUCUGUCCCAAAAUUUUUCAAUUUCUCUCUUUUGACCUUUCUCCUAAAAAAUUCACUCUACUUUGAAAGUUUUCAAUUUUCGUUCCCCAAAGUUUUCAAUUUUUGUCCCUAAAAAGUUGUUAACUUUUUAUUAACUUCCUCUCCCUCAAAUGUUUUUAUCUUCCUCACCCUCACCCUGAAAAGAUUUCAACUCUUACUUCCUAAAAGUUUUUACUUCUCAACUCUCAAUUUUUUUCACUCUUCCUGUAAAGUUUUUACUGCACUUAAAUUUAUAAUUUUCUCUCUUUUAAAAUUUAUACUUUGUAUCUUCAAAAACUUUUAAAUUACUGCUCCUAAAGUUUUCAUUUUACUGCUUUAAAAGGUUUUAAAUUUCUCUCCUUCAAAAGUUUUCAAGCUCUACUCCCACAAAAUUUUUAGCUCUUUGCUUCAAAAGUUCUUGAUAUGCUCUCUCAGAAGUUUUUAACUUUCUAUCGCUCAAAAGUUUUUACUUUCCUCUCUAAAUUUUAAAUGCACUCUUUCAAAAUUUAUAUUUUAUAUCUUCCGAAAUUCUUAAAUUUGAGUCCCAAAAAUUUUCAUUUUCUCUCCCUUGAAAGGUUACCAUUCUCUCUCGCAUAAAAGGUUUUAACUCCUCUCCCUCAAAUGUGUUUUCUCUCUAUCCCUCAAAAGUGUUUUAACUUAAAUCUAUCUCCCAUAAAAGGUUUCCACUCUCUCUCCGUUGAAAGGUUUUAACUUUCUAUUCCUCAAAUAUUUUUAACUAUCUCCCUCAAAAGUUUUUAAUUUUGACUCCCUAAAAAGUUUUUAACUCUACAUCAAAAGUUUUUACUUCUAGACUAACUUUUUAAUUCUCUCUUUCAAAAUUUGUACUUUGUCCCUAAAUUUUUCGAUUUGUCUCCCUUAAAAGUAUUUCAUUAAAAGGUUUUAACUUCCACUCCCUCAAAUGUUUUUAUCUUUCUCUCUAAAAAGUUCUGAACUUUCACUUCCUAAAUAUUUUUAUACUUCUCUCCUAUCAAAGGUUUUUAUUUCUCAACACUCAAAAGUUUUCACUCUCUCCCAAAAGUUUUUAUUUUGUUACUCAAAUUUAUAAUCUAUUAUCUUUCAAAAUUUAUACUUUGUGUAUUCCGAAAUUUCAAAAUUUUUGUACCUAAAAUUUUCAAUUUCAUUCCUUUAAAAGUUUUCCACACUUUCUCCCUUAAAAAAGGUUUCAACUUUCUAUCACUUGAAAGUUUUUCUUUCAGUUCCCUCAAAAUUUUUAACCUUCUCUUCAAAACUUUUGACAUUCUCUCCUUCCAUAGUUUGAUGCUUUCUCUCGCUCAAAAGUUUUUACUUUGUUACUCUCAAAAUUUUAAGCUCUUUCAAAAUGUAUACUUUGAAUCUUCCGAAAGUUUUAAAUUUCAGUCACAAAACUUUUCAAUUUGUUUUCCUUCAAUGUUUUCUAUCCUCUGUCCCUUAAAAGAUUUGAACUUCCUUCCUCCCCCUAAAAUUCUUUUAUCUCUCUCCCUCGAAAGUUUUUAACUCUCUCAUGCAAACUUUUUAACUCCACCUGAAAAGUUUUUUAAGUUUCACUCGUAAAAUUUUUAUCUUUCUCUGCUUAAAAAGUUUUUGACAUUCUCUCCCUCAAAAGCUUUUAACUUUCUCUCGCUCAAAUGGUCUUACUCCUUUACUCUCAAAUUUUUAACACUCAAAAUUUAUAUUUUGCAUCUUCUGAAAUUUCUAAAUUUUUUUCCCAAUUUUUUUCUAUUUCUCAAUUUUGACCUUUCUCCUAAAAAAUCCACUCUACUUUGGAAGUUUUCAAUUUUCGUUCCCCAAAGUUUUCAAUUUUUGUCCCUAAAAAUUUGUUAACUUUUUAUCAACUUCCUCUCCCUCAAAUGUUUUUAUCUUCCUCACCUGAAAAGUUUUCAACUCUUACUUCCUAAAAGUUUUUACUUCUCAACUCUCAAUUUUUUUCACUCUUCCUGUAAAGUUUUUACUGCACUUAAAUUUAUAAUUUUCUCUCUUUCAUAAAUUAUAAUUUGCAUCUUCAAAAAAUUUUAAAUUCUUGCCCCUAAAAUUUUCAUUACAUUGUUUUAAAAGUUUUUCACUCUCUCUUAAAAGAUUUUAAGUUUCUCCCCCGCUAAAGUUUUUAAGUUUCACUCCUGCAAAAUUUUUAGCUCUCUGCUUCAAAAGUUCUUGGUAUUCUCUCUCAAAAUUGUUAAACUUUAACUCCUUAAAAAGUUUUGUACUUUCUUUUCCUUCAAAAAUUUCACUCUCCUUUAAAAAAAUUUAUUUUUGUCCCUCAAAAGUUGUUAAACUUUUUCUCCCUUGAAAGUUUUUAUUUCUCAACUCUCAAAAUUUAUAAUUUUCUAGUUUUCAAAAUUUAUACUUUGUAUCAUCCAAAAGUUUUAUAUUUAAAUUUAUAAAUUUUUCUACCUUAAAAGUUUUCCACUUUCUCUUCUCCUUAAAAUGUUUUUAACUUUAUCUCCUUCAAAAGUUUUUUACUUUAACUCCCCAAAAUGUUUUUAAAUCUCUACCUCAAAAGUUUUUACUUCUCAACUCUCAAACUAUUUAAUUCUCUAUUUAAAAAUUUAUACUUUGUUAUUUUCUGAAAUUUUUAAAUUUAAAAUUUCUCUCCCUCGAAAGUUUUUAACUUUCAUUCCCUAAUGAAAUUUUCACUCUCGUUCUAAAGUUUUUGACUUUCUUUCUUUUGACCUUUCUCUUCCAAAAAAAUUCACUCCUUUGGAAGAUUUCAAUUUCCAUUCCUCAAAGUUUUCAAUUAUGUCCCUAAAAAUUUGUUAACUUUUUAUCAACUUCCUCUCCCUCAAAUGUUUUUAUCUUCCUCUCCCUGAAAAGUUUUCAACUCUUACUUCUUAAAAGUUUUUACUUCUCAACCCUCGAUUUUUUUCACUCUUCCUGUAAAGUUUUUACUGAACUUAAAUUUAUAAUUUUCUCUCUUUCAUAAUUUAUAAUUUGUAUCUUCAAAAAAAUUUUAAUUCCUGCCCCUCAAAUUUUCAUUACACUGUUUUAAAAGUUUUUCACUCUCUUACAAGAUUUUAAGUUUCUCCCCCUCUAAAGUUUUUAAAUUUCACUCCCGCAAAAUUUUUAGCUCUCUGCUUCAAAAGUUCUUGGUAUUCUCUCUCUCAAAAGUGUUAAACUUUAACUCCCUAAAAAGUUUUGUACUUUCUCUUCCUUCAAAAAUUUCACUCCCCUUUAAAAAAAUUUAUUUUUGUCCCUCAAAAGUUGUUAAACUUUUUCUCCCUUGAAAGUUUUUAUUUCUCAACUCUCAAAAUUUAUAAUUUUCUAGUUUUCAAAAUUUAUACUUUGUAUCAUCCAAAAGUUUUAUAUUUAAAUUUAUAAAUUUUUCUACCUUGAAAGUUUUCCACUUUCUCUUCUCCUUAAAAUGUUUUUAACUUUCUCUCCUUCAAAAGUUUUUUACUUUAACUCCCUAAAAAGUUUUUAAAUCUCUACCUCAAAAGUUUUUACUUCUCAACUUUCAAACUAUUUAAUUCUCUCUUUAAAAAUUUAUACUUUGUUUCUUUCUGAAAUUUUUAAAUUUCAAAUUUCUCUCCCUCGAAAGUUUUUAACUUUCAUUCCCUAAUGAAAUUUUCACUCUCGUUCUAAAGUUUUUGACUUUCUUUCUUUUGACCUUUCUCUUCCAAAAAAAUUCACUCCUUUGGAAGAUUUCAAUUUCCAUUCCUCAAAGUUUUCAAUUAUGUCCCUAAAAAUUUGUUAACUUUUUAUCAACUUCCUCUCCCUCAAAUGUUUUUAUCUUCCUCUCCCUGAAAAGUUUUCAACUCUUACUUCCUAAAAGUGUUUACUUCUCAACCCUCAAUUUUUUUCACUCUUCCUAUAAAGUUUUUACUGAACUUAAAUUUAUAAUUUUCUCUCUUUCAUAAUAUAUAAUUUGUAUCUUCAAAAAAUUUUAAAUUCCUGCCCCUAAAAUUUUCAUUACACUGUUUUAAAAGUUUUUCACUCUCUCUUAAAAGAUUUUAAGUUUCUCCCCCUCAAAUGUUUUUAAGUUUCACUCCCGCAAAAUUUUUAGCUCUCUGCUUCAAAAGUUCUUGGUAUUCUCUCUCUCAAAAGUGUUAAACUUUAACUCCCUAAAAAGUUUUGUACUUUCUCUUCCUUCAAAAAUUUCACUCUCCUUUAAAAAAAUUUAUUUUUGUCCCUCAAAAGUUGUUAAACUUUUUCUCCCUUGAAAGUUUUUAUUUCUCAACUCUCAAAAUUUAUAAUUUUCUAGUUUUCAAAAUUUAUACUUUGUAUCAUCCAAAAGUUUUAUAUUUAAAUUUAUAAAUUUUUCUACCUUGAAAGUUUUCCACUUUCUCUCCUUAAAAAGUUUUUUACUUUAACUCCCUAAAAAAAUUUUAAAUCUCUACCUCAAAAGUUUUUACUUCUCAACUCUCAAACUAUUUAAAUCUUUCUUUAAAAAUUUAUACUUUUUUUCUUUCUGAAAUUUUUAAAUUUCAAAUUUCCCUCCCUCGAAAGUUUUUAACUUUCAUUCCCUAAUGAAAUUUUCGCUCUCGUUCUAAAGUUUUUGACUUUCUUUCUUUUGACCUUUCUCUUCCAAAAAAAUUCACUCCUUUGGAUGUUUUCAAUUUCCAUUCCUCAAAGUUUUUAAUUAUGUCCCUAAAUAUUUGUUAACUUUUUAUCAACUUCCUCUCCCUCAAAUGUUUUUAUCUUCCUCUCCCUGAAAAGUUUUAAACUCUUACUUCCUAAAAGUUUUUACUUCUCAACCCUCAAUUUUUUUCACUCUCCCUGUAAAGUUUUUACUGAACUUAAAAUUAUAAUUUUCUCUCUUUCAUAAUUUAUAAUUUGUAUCUUCAAAAAAUUUUAAAUUCUUGCCCCUAAAAUUUUCAUUACACUGUUUUAAAAGUUUUUCACACUCUUAAAAGAUUUUAAGUUUCGCCCCCUCUAACGUUUUUAAGUUUCACUCCCGCACGCAAAAUUUUUAGCUCUCUGCUUCAAAAGUUAUUGGUAUUCUCUCUCUCAAAAGUGUUAAACUUUAACUCCCUAAAAAGUUUUGUACUUUCUCUUCAAAAAUUUCACUCCUUUAAAAAAAAUUAUUUUUGUCCCUCAAAAGUUGUUAAACUUUUUCUCCCUUGAAAGUUUUUAUUUCUCAACUCUCAAAAUUUAUAAUUUUCUAGUUUUCAAAAUUUAUACUUUGUAUCAUCAAAAAGUUUUAUAUUUAAAUUUAUAAAUUUUUCUACCUUGAAAGUUUUCCACUUUCUCUUCUCCUUAAAAUGUUUUUAACUUUCUCUCCUUCAAAAGUUUUUUACUUUAACUCCCUAAAAAGUUUUUAAAUCUCUACCUUAAAAGUUUUUAUUUCUCAACUCUCAAACUAUUUAAUUCUCUCUUUAAAAAUUUAUACUUUGUUUCUUUCUGAAAUUUUUAAUUUCAAAUUUCUCUCCCUCGAAAGUUUUUAACUUUCAUUCCCUAAUGAAAUUUUCACUCUCGUUCUAAAGUUUUUGACUUUCUUUCUUUUGACCUUUCUCUUCCAAAAAAAUUCACUCCUUUGGAAGUUUUCUUUUUCCGUUCCUCAAAGUUUUCAAUUUAUGUCCCUAAAAAUUUGUUAACUUUUUAUCAACUUCCUCUCCCUCAAAUGUUUUUAUCUUCCUCUCCCUUAAAAGUUUUAAACUCUUACUUCCUAAAAGUUUUAACUUCUCAACUCUCAAAUUUUUUCACUGUAAAGUUUUUACUCGACCUAAAUUUAUAAUUUUCUUUCUUUCAAAAUUUAUACUUUGCAUCUUCAAAAACUUUUAAAUUACUGCCCCUAAAGUUUUCAUUUCACUGCUUUAAAAGUUUUUCACUCUUAAAAGUUUCACUUCCGCAAAAUUUUUAACUCUUUGCUUCAAAGUUCUUGAUAUAUUAUCUCUAAAGUUUUUAACUUUCUAUCGCUCAAAAGUUUUUACUUUACUCUAAAUUUUAAAUGCACUCUUUCAAAAUUUAUAUUUUAUAUCCUCCGAAAUUCUUAAAUUUCAUUCCAAAAAAUUUUCAUUUUCCCUCCCUUAGAAGGUUUCCACUCUCUCCCAUAAAAGCUUUUAUCUUCCUCUACCUCAAACGUGUUCUCUCUAUCCCUUAAAAGGGUUUAACUUUGACUCCCUAAAAAGUUUUGAACUUUCUCUUCCUCAAAAAUUUACUCUCCUUAAAAAGUUUUUAAUUUCUGUCCCUCAAAUGUUGUUAACUUUUUCUCCCUUUAAAGUUUUUACUUUUCAACUUUAAAAUUUUAUAAUUUUCUCGCUUUCAAAAUUUAUACCUUGUAUCUUCCAAAAAUUUUAACUUUUUGUCACUAAAAUUUAUCAAUUUCUCUCCCUUGAAAGUUUUCAUUUUUUCUUAAAAUAUUUUUAACUUGCUCUCCCUCAAAAGUUUUUAACUUUAACCCCCUAAAAAGUUUUUAACCCUCUAGCUCAAAAAAUUUUACUUCCAAGACUCGAACUUUUUAAUUUUCUCUUUAAAAAUUUAUACUUUGUUUCUUUCUGAAAUUUUUAAAUUUCAAAUUUCUCUCCCCUAAAAAGUUAUCUCCCUAAAAGAUUUUAACUUCGUUCACUCUAAAAAGUUUUUAACUCUCCUUCAAAAAAAUUCACUCUCCUUCAAAUGCUUUUAUUUUCUGUCUAUUGUAGUUAAAAUUUUCUCCUUUUAAAGUUUUUAAUUCUUAACUUUCAAAUUUUAUAAGUUUCCCUAUUUCAAAAUUUGUACUUUGUAUGUUCUAAAGUUUUUACAUUUUUGUCCCUAAAUUUUUAAAUCUAUCCCUUAAAAGUUUUUCAUUCUCUUCUGUAAAAGGUUUUAACUUUCUAUCCCUCAAAUGUUUUAAACUCUCUCCCUCAAAAGUUUUUAAUUUCGGCUCCCAAAAAAGUUUUUAACUGUCUACAUCAAAGUUUAUACUUCGUUACUCUUGAACUUUUUUAUUUUAUCUUGUUCAAAAUUUGUACUUUGUAUGUUCCAAAAUUUUCAAAUUUUCGUCCCUAAUUUUUUUUAUUCCUGUCCCUUUACAAGUUUUUCAUUCUCUCUGUUAAAAGGUUUUUAUCUUUCCGUCCCUAAACCUUUUCUCCCUAUAUUAUUUUAAACUUCUCUUCGUCAAAUGUUUUUAUUUCUUAACUCCCAAAACUGUUCACUCUCUCCCGCAAAAGUUUUUACUUCGUAACUCAAAUUUAUAAUUCUCUCUUUCAAAAUGUAUACUUUGUAUCAUCUGAAAUGUCUUAAUUUCAGUUUCUAAAAUUUUCAAAAGUUCUUACUUCUUAACUCUAAAAAUUUGUAAUUUUCUCGCUUUCAAAAUUUAUACUUUGUAUCUUCUGAAAAUUUAAAGUUUUAUUCCUAAAAAAUUUCAAUUUCUCCCUUGAAAGUUUUCCUCUCUCCCUUAAAAUGUUUUUAACUUCCUCUCCCUCAAAUGUUUUUAUCUUUCUCGCCCAAAAAAGUAUUACUUUUACUUCCUAAAAGUUAUCUUCUUAACUCUCAAAUUUUUUCACUCUCCCUCAAAAAAUUCUCUUAUCUCAAAUUUAUACUUUGUAUCUUUCAAAAAUUUUAAAUUACUGCCCCUAAAAGUAUUGUAAAAGUUUUCCACUGUCCCUUAAAAUGUUUUAACUUUCUAUUACUCAAAAAAAUUUUAAAAGUUAACUUUCUUUCCCUAAAAUGUUUUUAAAUCUCUACCUCAAAAGUUUUUACUUCUUUACUCUCAAACUAUUUAAUUUUCUCUCUUUAAAAAUUAAUACUUUGUUUCUUUUUGAAAUUUUUAAAUUUCAAAUUUCUCUCAUUUGAAAGGUUUUAACUUUCUCUCCUUGAAAAGGUUUUAACUUUCUGUAACUCAAAAAUUUUAGCUCUCCCUUAAAAAAAUUCAAUUUUUUCCUCUCCCUCAAUAGUUUUUACUUCCCAACUCUCAUUUCGAAAUUCAUACUUUGUAUCUUACUAGCUUUUAAAAUUCAGUUUGUAAAAUUUUAAAUCUCGCUCCUUUAAAUGUUUCUCGUUUUUUCUUUGUUAAAAGUUUUUCACUCUCUCCCACACAAGUUUUUACUUAACUCCCAAAAAUUAUAAGUUUCUCUAUUCAAAAUGUUUUAUUUUUCAUCUUUCGAAAUCUUUUAAUUUCAGUCUCAAAUUAUUUAUUCUCUCUCCCUCAAGAGUUUUUACUUCCUCAAUUUUUAAUUCUCUUUUUUAAAAUUUAUACUAUGUAUCUUCUGAGAUUUUUAAAUUUCAGUCAUUAAAUUUUUCAAUUUCUCUCCCUUUAAAGUUUCACUUUCUUGCCCUUUAAAGUUUUUAAUUUCCUCCCUUAAAAUUUCACUCUCUCUCCCUCUCAGAAGUUUUUACGUAACUCCCAAAUUUUUUUAAUUUCCUCUCUUUCAAAAUUUAUAUUUUGUAUGUUCUGAAAUUUUAAAUUUAACUUGCUCAAAAGUUGUCACCUCUCUCCCUCAAAAUUUUUCACUCCAAAAAGUUUUUACGGUGUCUCCCUCGAUUUUUUUAAAUUUUAGUAUCUUAAUUGUUCAUUGUCUCUCCCUCAAAAAGUUAUCACUUUUUCGCCCUCAAAAGUUUUUAACAUUCUCUCAAUUUUUUAAAAACCUCUCUCUAGAUUUUUUUUUUUCAUUGUUCAGACUCAACUUUUCACCUCUCCCUUAAAAGAUUCUCACUCUCUUCCUAAAAAUACUCAAAAAAAAUUUAAUUUCUACAUAUCCAAAUUUUUUAAUUUCACUCGUUUUUCACAUACUCCUUCAAAAGUUUUUUGCUUUCUGUCCCUCAGAAGCAUAGUUGUUACGGGGCCACGGCUAGUCAUGGCGGUAGCUGACUGUCGUAUGGCGACAAAUCGUUUACAAUGUGCAAUUUAUAUAUUAUUUAUUUUACUUAACUAGUAUAUUGACAAUAAAAUUUCAUAUACAUUAAAACUCAAAACACAACAUUAUGGAAUAACAUUAAAGGCAUAAUUAUGUAAAUACUUAGAAAUAACAAUCCACCACACAUGCAUUAAAGUCAACUACUUUAUAACAAUAUAUAUUAAUCACACCUCACCAGCCUUAAAUUUUAUUUCAUUAAUCAGUAUAUAACAAUAUGGAAUAGUUUUAUUUUAUACCCACCUACUUUUACAAUUAAAAUGGUGUUCAUGGAUCUAAUGUAUGUAUGUGUUUGUAUUUAUAUAAUCACAGUUAAUAUGUAUUUGUUCAUUAUCUAAUAUAUUUACAUUUUCUAUGUAUCAGUACAUAUAUUGUAUGCAUGUAUAAGCAUGUAUCAGUGUUCUAAAAGUCGCUAGUCGGUCCCAGGUCGGUCGACUACCGACUAGAGACUAGGGGAUUAGUCGGAAUUAAUCGGCUAGUCGGAUUUUUAAAUUCUUUUUUUAAAUAUAUAUUCUCCUUCAUCAUUCAUAAGUUUUUAGUAAGUAGAAUAACACAAAUCAUCAAAUAAAAACAUGGAAACUAAGUAAAACCAAAUAGUUCGACGCUCUAAGUUCUAAACCAAUUUACCAAAUGAAACUAAGUAGCACAAAAUCAAUAGUCAAUCACUCCUCCUCUUCUCCAUAUCCCUCCAAGACUUGCUCUCCAUCGAACUCAAACUCAUAAUCAUCUUCCUCUUCGUUGUCAUCAUCUUCCGACACAAACUCGUUUUCAUCUAGUUCUCGCACAUUUCUACUUCUUCUAGGUAGAAGGACAUCAUUCGCUCCCAUUUUUUCCGAUUUUCCCCGACUUCUUCUGAUUUUUCCCGACUUGUUCCGAUUUUUUAAUUUACUCCGACUGGGCGACUUUACCGACUAACUGGAGCCCGACUAAGUCGGCCAGUGACUAAAUCAUGAGGCUCCGACUCCGACCUAGUCGCCGACUAGGCCGACUUUUCGAACACUGACAUGUAUUAGUAUAUAAAUUUAUAUAUAUUACCUGCUAAUCUGAUGAGUCCAAGAAGUGUCGCCGGAAAAAGACCUUCGUGGUCGUGUCGAAGAAUCUAAGUCUCUCGCUCUCACAGUCUCUCUCUCGACUUCGAUCUUCUUUUUCGCACUUUGCAGCCUCUCGGGUUGUUCUCGACUUCGAUCUUUUUCUCACUUCUUUGCAAAUUGAUCGACUAUGGCUAGUUUUGGUGUUGCGCUUACAUCGUCAUUUUUUUAACUCAGUUCGAAUUUGGGUUGAUCCAUACACAUAGAGGCAAGUCGCUCGACCGGCCCUUUCAGCCCUUGACCAAGUCCCUCGCUUGCUUUGCCUGUCUCUUACCGACUGGACGCUAAGCGACGACAUAACAACUUUGCUCAAAAGCUUCUUGCUUUCUCUCCCUCGAAAGUUUUUUCUUCUCAUCCUCGAAAGUUUCACUCUCACCUAGUCACCCUCAAAAGUUUUUCACUCUCUCUCCCUCAAAAGUUUUUCGCUCCUUUUUUGAAAGUUUUUCUCUUCCUAUCUAGUUUCACUUUCUCUCCCUCAAAAGCUUUUACUUCUUAACUCGAAAUUGGAACUUUCUCUAUUUCAAAAGUUUUUACAUUUUAUAUUUGAAAUUUUUUCUUUUAAUUUCAGUCUCUAAAUUUUGGACUCUCUCUUCUUCAAAAGCUUCAUUUUCUCUCCAUCAAAAGUUUUUACUUCCCUAUUCUCGAAAUUUUUACCUCCCAAAGGUUUUUACUUUUUACCUCCAAGCCUUUUAAUUUCAGUUUUAAAAUUUUCACUCUCCUUUGAAAGUUUUAAAAACUCUCUCCCUCAAACUUUUUACUUCCCAUCUUUCGAAAUUUUCAACUUUCUCUCUUACUUUUUACUUCCCAUCUUUCGAAAUUUUCAACUUUCUCUCUUACAAAAGGUCAUACUUCUUAUCUCCCUAAAUUUCUAAUUUCACUCUCCAAAUUUUUCAGUUUCUCUCUAAAGUUUUUACUUUUUGUCUCCAAUUUUUUUUAUUUAACUUGCUUUCCUUUUGUACUAAACUGACAUAAGGUCUAUCUUUAUUCUUACUUUUUAAAUUUGAUAUGUAUUUCAAUCAAGAAAUUUUCAGAAUAUCUUUUUUGUUUUUCUAGUUGUAUGACUAGAUGAUUUACAUAGUCUAUUUGUUGUAUGUAACUUGUUUUCAUUUUUGCAUAUUCCACUCUUGGGAAUUAACCUUUCUUCAGCUUCAGUUAUUAAGUAUUCUUUUCUUUUUUUCCGUAUUUACCCCUCUUACAUGUAUUUACUAUCUCAUGUAAUUCUUCUCAAAUAUGUUCUAUUUGAAUUUCAAUAUGAUCCUUUCACGAUUCUUUCCGGACAUAGGUAGUACUCUUGUCCAUUUUUUCCACUCUGUCCAACAACGAAUAGCAAAUGAGAAAACUACUUUGUGGUGUCUUUGAAAUUUGUUCUGAAAUUUCAUUUGUUCUUUUUCUUUUCUUCUUUAAAUAUGUGAUUACCUGAUAAUUCCUCGACUAUAGGUGAUUACCUGAUCAUUUAUCCUUUGUUUUUCUUUAUACUACUGUUCCUUUACAUUCAACUAAUGGUUGUCUACUCUUCAUUCUUGACCUAUGAAUUGAAUUUUUUUGCCGUUUAAAGUUUUAUUCUGUUAUAUGGUUUUUGUAGUUCCAUCUUUGUAACUACUUCUGUUUAAAAUGUUUUGGCAUAUAUUUGACCAUGAAGUCUUUUCUCUUACUGCUAGUAUUGAUUUUUGUUAUCAUCCUCAUUGUGUUUCAUUCCAAGUUACUUUAGGGUUUUUUCUUCCUUUUGACACAAAAAACUGAAAGUUACUCUAUUAUAGUUUUUGAAGUUCUGUCUUUGCAACUACUUCUGUUUAAAAUGUUUUGGUAUAUAUUUGACCAUGAACCCGUUUUUCUUGCUGCUAGUAUUGAUUUUUGUAAUUAGCUGAUGCUUCACCAUGCAUGGGUAGGCCCAUUGGUGUUAUAAACAGCCAUAAUCAUACACUUCAUUUUGUAUACCAUUUUAGUGUCUAUUCUUUGUCGCCAAAGUAAUAUUGUCAUGUAUAUAAUGAUGGGAAAACCUUUUCCAGAAAAGGUUUUUCCGAUAUUUUUCGGUGUUCAAUGGAAAAACAUCCCAUAAAUCAAGAAAACAACUUACCAAUUUCAAGUCUGUAAGUCAUUUUCCUUCAUUUCGUCUCCCUCUUCUCUCUCGUCCUGUAGCAAUAUUUCUUCAUCAAAUUCACAUUUUUUAAGGAAUCAUCAUAAAAAUAAUCUGGUUUAAAAUUGUCUAAAUUAAAAACAAAUGUUCUUCGUUUCUAAAUAGAUCUUGUAGCAUAAAAUUUGGGGAAAGGGAGAAGAAGAGUGCAUAUCUAUAUAUCUCUCUCUACAUAUAUAUAUAUAUAUAUAUAUAUAUAUGUGUGUGUGUGUCUGUGUGUGUGAGUGUGUAUAUAUACUAUACUUGUAAGUAAACAUCUCAUAUUGUUGCUGGACUUUUUUAAUUUUGAUUCCUUUAUAUUUUCUUUUGAUUGCGGGAAAUAAUUUCUCCAUGGUUGAAUAUAUGGGUUUGAUUAUAACAAUUAUAGGGAAGAUAGGGAUAUAACCUGAAAUUUGGGGAGAGAGCAAGCGAACAAAUUUGCUACCUUCACGUGCUUCACAAACAAUGGAAAAUACAUGAAAAUUUGAUCAUUUUCAUGGAAAAUGAAAAUAUUUUUCGGAAAAGGUUUUUGUUGAAGCAAACAGUCUUUGUUGCUUUUGUUUUUGUUUUUUCUUAUUUUUCCUCCUAAUUUGGAUUCAUGGAUAGGCUGAAUGUGACGAUAAAUCAUACACAUCAUUAUGCAACAUUGCAUGCUAGAUUGCUUUUAGUUUAGGCUGAUAAUUAUCAAGUUAUAAAACGCUAGAAGGACCCGGUCUGAUCAUCAAACCGAAAAAGUUACUGGGUGGAUAGGUCAUUGGAGUCGAACUUUUAUUGAACUUGUGAAGUUAUAAAUAUCAUAGUAAUCAAGUUGUAGCCUAGGCGACGCUUAGUCGUUGAGUCACUCAAGAUAGUGCAAGUCAUAGCGACGCUUUACUACCCAAAUCGACCAUUUGGUCUUUUUAAAAUAAAAAAAAAGGCUAAAGUCGCAACCAAAUUCCCAAUUUGGUAAACCUAAAGUCGAGAGAGAGAGAGAGGAGUACCAGAUGACAACUUUGGCGAGAAGCUUCUGCAACUUUAGCGAGAAGCAUCUGCGACUUUGGUCGAGAACCCGUGACGUCGGCAUCGGCAUGCAAAUCACAGCUUAGUUCUGCUUCUCAACAGUUGAAGUCUUGAAGACAUAGGUUUGAUUAUAACAAUAACAGGGAAGAGAGGAAGUGAGGAAGCGAACAAAUUUGCUACCUUCAUGUGCUUCACAAACAAUGGAAAAUACAUGAAAAUUUGAUCAUUUUCCAUGAAAUGAUUACAUCAGAAAAUAUUUUUUUGAAAAGGUUAUCGUUGAAGCAAACGGAGUGUUUGUUACUUUUGUUUUUGCUUUUUCUGAUUUUUCCUCCUAAUUUGGAUUCAUGGAUAAGCUCAAUGUGACGAUAAAUCAUACUCAUCAUUAUGCAAAAUUGCAUGCUAGAUUGCUUUUAGUUUAGGCUGAUAAUUAUUAAAUUAUAAGACGCUAGAAGGACUCGGAUCGGUCAUCGAACCGGAAGAGUUACUGGGUGGAUAGGUCAUUGGUGUCAAACCGUUAUUGAACUUGUGACGUUAUAAAUAUAAUGAUUAUCAAGUCGUAGCCUCGGCAGCGCUUAGUCGUUGAGUCGCUCUUGAUAGUGCAAGUCGUAGCGACGCUUUAGGCUUCGAAGUCGCGUGCUCAGCUCGGCAGUUCGUCGCCUUGGGGACGACAAGGACGACUUGGGCUUAAGUAGUCGGUUACUAACUACCCAAGUCGACCCAAACAACAAUUUGGUAUUUUUUUAAAAGAAAAAGAAAAAGAAAAGGAGGCUAAAGUCGCAACCAAAUGCCCAAUUUGGUAAACCUAAAGUCAAGAGAGAUAAAAGUACCAAAUGGCAACUUUGGUUGUCGCAAUAUUAAUAUAUUUGUGUUUUUAAUAGUAUUUGAUAGUGUUAAAUAUUGUAAAAUAAUAAUCUCAAAUGUACAUGUAUAUAUGUAAGUUUAUAUGUAUAAAUUGUACAUGGGAAAUGACUUCUCGACUUAUGGAUCAGGCGCCUAGUCGACUAGUCGCUUAAGUUCCGGGCCACCGACUCGACUCGACUCGACUCAACUCAACUCAACUUGACAACUGAUAAAUAUAUAAAAAUAUAUAUUAUUAAUAAUUAUUAAAAUUUUAAAACAACUUAUUUUUGAUAAACUAAAAUAUAAUGAAUUGGUGUUACAAUAUUAUUAAAAGUUACUCCAUCCGUCCCAGGAUAAAAGUCCUUAUUACUAUUUUGGGUUGUCCCAUGUUAAUUGUCCACUUUCUUUUAAUAACCAAACUUUUACAUAUUUUUUCCUAUUAUGCUCAUAGCAUUAAAUAUCUCAUACUUUUCUUAUUCUAAUUCUGUCUCCAUAUUUAAUGACAUUAUUAUGGAUAAUUUUAUCAUUUUAUUCCUCUUCUUAAUAUGCGUGAAAAGUCCACCAGGACUUUUAUCCUGGGACGGAGGAAGUAUUAUUUUAAUAUUAAAAAAAAUUAGAACUAAAAAAAUAAUUAAAAAUUGGCUCAUUGGGUCAACUUAACUGAUUUUACCGGUUGAGCCACAUGUUUAACCGAUGGUCAGCUUUUCAAUCUGGGUUUUGACCAAAUUUGUUCAACCGGUUCGGAUCGGUUCAACCGGUUGGGCCGAAUAAGGUUUCAAAACAUUGGCUAAAAGUGCCUAAAGAUCUCCUGUUAGAUACUCCAUUGUAUUUAAACAAACGUUAUUUUUAUGCUAGUAAUUGAUCUGGUCGAUUAUGUGAAAACAAAUGUUUACUUGGGUCUAGUAACAAUUUGUGAUAUUGUGACUGUGUGCAAUACAAUCUCAUAUUAUUCCUAAAAAUAAUGGAUUUUUAGAAGUUCAUUGUUUGAAUUGAACUUCGGAAGGGUAUGGUCUGUUUGCACCACUAGCGUAGUUAUUGAAUUUUUUAAUGUAAGCAAUAUUUUCAGACUCGGACGGAUCAUCAAACCGAAAAAGUCAUACAGCAUGGAUGGGUCACUAUGUCAACCGGUUAAACCGUUAUUGAAUUAGUUAUGUCAUAAUUAUUAUUAAUUAAAUAUAUUAAUAAUUAAUAAUUAUUAUAAAUUUUAUAUGAUAUAUGUCACUUCUGUUUCAAAACAUAAGAGUACUAGACUUUAUAUUUUACAAAACAAAAAUCCUAUAUUUUAAAAUAGUAUUAAAUAUGCUAAAACAAAAUUAAUAUAUUAGUGUCAACACUCCUAUUAUUUACUCAUAAAUUUAUUAUUAUAACAUAUCAUAGAAUUAUAUAUGCGCACGCGCACCCACCCACACACACAUAUAUACAUACGGAGGUCUUGAUCGUUUUCUUGACUGGUUCACGGUUCAACCGGUCGAUCCGGAGGUCUUAAAACAUUGAAUGCAACUUCUGAAUUUAUUUAACGGAAUAACUAGGUUCGCAUAUACAGCUAUGCUGGCAAUUAAUUCUUUCUUUUAUUGAACUGAAAGCCCCUGAAAGAUGGAUUCACUCCGCAUAGGCUGUUUUUUUAUUGUCAUGAAAAUACUCCAAAUGCUCAUAGGAUAAUAUGUGCAUCCAAUGCCAAAUAUGAUGUCGGUUAUCAGUCGUCUUUUGUACCUAACACAAAAUGGAAAUGGAAGUUGUCCUAGUUAUGGUGGUGAAGUGUUUUGUAUACAUUGCAAUUUGGAGCUCAACUACAUUAAUAACUUGUUCAGACCCACUUUCUUACUGAUUGUAAUAUUUGUUUUAACCAGCUUUUUCACGUGAUUAUAAAACUGGAUUCAAUUGUCUUGUGAUGGCUCUUUCAAUGAACAGUAAACAUAAUGGUCCAGUCUGAAAUCCAAAUGGAAAAUUUCUAAGAUAUUCUACACUUAUUUGAAGUAGCUUGUAGGUUAUUGUUCCAUUUAGUCAUGAUGUUAUUAAUAGGAGAUUCGGUAGAGUUGACCAUGCAGAAAAUCUCUUUAUGAGAUUGAAAUCUUUAUGCAACUAAAUAAUAUAACUAUUGUGGUUUGAGAGGGAUAUCAGUUGUCCUUUUUCUUGUUGUUUGUUUGUGAAACUAGUUAAAAAUCUCAUGCAAGUCGCAAGUGAAAUUUAUUUCUAUAUUUAUUCCUUUUAUUUAGAAAUAAAAGAUUGCAUAAUUAUUUUAAUUAAGUACUAGUUAAUUUUUACAUACGGCCAUCCCUUGGAUUUUUUCAGGUAAAUCCAACCGUACUAAUAUAAAGAACAUAUAAAAAUAUUUGAACACGUGAAUUUUCAACUGAUUUGGUGAUGUAUAUCGACGACUUUAUGUUAAUGAAAUUUCAGUAAAUCUAUAUAAAAUUUCUAAAGAGUGCUUAAUUACUAUUAGAUUUUUAUUAAAUAGGUAAUAUUAAUGUUUACUUACUAUGACAUUUUAGUUUGGUAAAUAUAUCAUAACACUAGAAUGAUUAGUUAUUGUUAGUUUCCCUUAGGUAUGUAAAUGCACACUUAAUUAGGUGACUUGUAUAGAAAAAUAUUGUUACUAAUAUUUAAAAAUAUUAGUCUAUAAGCAUGGGUGGACUAUUAGAGAUCGAGCCAAGGCUAGUUAAAGAUCAGUUCUUCGUAAAUUUAUGUUCCCCUUUCUGGGACAUACACAAGCAAUGACUGGGAAGCGAGGAAAAGAGAGUGGAUCCUUGGCUGGCUGGGUAUUUUAUAAUUGUCGGUGAAUCCUUAGCUGGGAUAAAAUGUGUCGACUAUCGUUCCGCUUUUUUGUGUACUUGCUGCAAUAUUAUGAAUCUAAUACUGUUACUGUUUUGAAUUUUUGCCUGUAAGGCUGAUUGGAUCAAGGUUCACAUAAGUUUGAUAUUUGUAAAACUUAUAAAACAUAAGUUUUACAAAAAUAUCAAUCAUUUUAAUAUUUUUGAAAGAAAAGGAAAAGCAUUAUGUCUUAAUAAUCUUUAUGGUAUGGUUAUUGGAGCCAGUAAUGAUCUCUCUCCCGCUAUCGCUCUUUGUCUUCAUUUAGAAUCAAUUAAUUAGUAUUUUUAACUAUAACAAGAAUCCCAACGUUCAUUUUAAUUAUGUGUCCUAUUAGCACAAAUCUCAAGUUUGCAUGCCUUUCAGUCCAUGAUGUGGUUAGUAUCUGCCAAGGCUGCUAUUGCUUAUCAUGAUAAAAUUUUCUCCAAUAAUUUUUUGAGCUCUUUUUUUACAUUAGUAUAUUCAACAAGAAAUGAUGCUUUUGGUUCAUGUAGUUAUGCAAGUAUUAAUUCCUUUGAGACUAUGCACUUGUGGGUGUAUGCACUUGUGGUAAAUAUUAUCUAACAAAUUCAUAUUGUUUUGUUGUUCAUUUAACAUUUAUAUACCUGCAUUUGACAAUUUCAGAUUCGCUCACUUUGCGUGUCCAGAACACUUUCAUGGCCUGUUCAGUGUUGAUCCAAGCAACUGUAAGAUGCUUACUGUUUAGUGUAAUACCAAGGAAUUUCAAAAGACGGGUUUUCUAUUUGAAGAGAUACAUUACUCCAAAAUAGGAUAUCUACUUUUUUUAGUUUGUGAGUGUAAGGUUUGAUAAAAAAAAAUUAUUUGAUAAUUAACAUGUCUGAAAUAUUUGAAUGACAGAAUUUUAUUAUUUUAUUCCUCUGAAAAAAUUCAAAGUUGUAAAUUUAUUUAAUAUUACUUAAUAUAAUAGUUUUAAAAAAAA
rnacentral:lncRNA from 1 species